UUAAUAAACAUCUAGUCUUUG
ensembl:piRNA 21ur-9282 ncRNA